GUUAUUACCACUAGAAUGAAGGGUCUGACGAAAGAAAAAUUUUCUUCUUAUUAAUCUAAAUUGAUAAGUAAAUAAAAAAGUUUAUUCCUUUUAGAUAGACGAUAAGACCCUAAAACCUUUAAUAAAUAUACUAUUUUUGCUGGGGAGGCAAAUUACACCUUCGAAAUUUACCCAAACAGGAUAGUUGAACUUUAUAUAACUUAGAUUAAAAACAAAAAGGUACUUUAGGGAUAACAGCAUAAUUUUUAUAUAGAGUUUCUUAUCGACAUAAAAGAUUAUGACCUCGAUGUUGAAUUGAUAAUGCCCUACUAAGCAGCCCUAGUAAUGUGCAGGUCUGUUCGACCUUUAAUCUAUCACAUGAUCUGAGUUCAAACCGGA
rnacentral:rRNA from 1 species